CAGCAGUCAAUCCCUUCCUUGUAGCCGCAUCGGGUCUUGUAGGUUCCCGACUUUAACAUUUCGAAACCAAUCGGUGCCACGACAUCCUUUUGAAGACUUACUUUUAAAUUACAUUUAUUUCUUUUUUUUUUUGGGUUGAACUUCCCAACUCUAACGCUGACGUCCCUUCUGUAAAGAUCGUGUUUCCUGCCCCACACUUUGUUUAAUUCUUUACUAAAAUUCUUUGCCAAGCCGCCAAAGUGGAGAGUGUCGUUGCACCAGGGGGACCUUCUCGUUUCAGUGUGGGGGGAGGAGGUGGGGGUGCACCUCAGCACUAUCCCAAGACUGUCUGCAACAGCGAGUUCCUGGGGAAAACCCCAGGUCCUGGCGUUCAGAGAUGGAUUCCUUCACGAAGCACUAGACGAGAUGCCAAUUCCUCCAGU